ensembl:snRNA U1 U1 spliceosomal RNA
AUACUUACCUGGCAGGGGAGAUACCAUGAUCACGAAGGUGGUUUUCCCAGGGCGAGGCUUAUCCAUUGCACUCCGGAUGUGCUGACCCCUGCGAUUUCCCCAAAUGUGGGAAACUCGACUGCAUAAUUUGUGGUAGUGGGAGACUGCGUUCGCGCUUUCCCCUG